AACGGGGGGAGCGAGCGUUAUUCAUCAUUACUGGGCGUAAAGGGUGUGUAGGUUGUUUUUUUAAGUUUGUAUUAAAGAAUCUUAGCGUAACUAAGGAAUUGAUACAUAUACUAAAAAACUUGAGGUUGUUAGAAGUUAGUUGUAUUUUUAAUGUAAAAGUGAAAUUUUUAGAUAUUAGAAAGACGAUCAUUUGGCGAAGGCUACUUGCUAUGGCAAUUCUGACGCUGAAAUACAAAAGCAUGGGUAUCAAACGGG
rnacentral:rRNA from 1 species